GGGUUGUGAGGUUAAGCGACUAAGCGUACACGGUGGAUGCCCUGGCAGUCAGAGGCGAUGAAGGACGUGCUAAUCUGCGAUAAGCGUCGGUAAGGUGAUAUGAACCGUUAUAACCGGCGAUUUCCGAAUGGGGAAACCCAGUGUGUUUCGACACACUAUCAUUAACUGAAUCCAUAGGUUAAUGAGGCGAACCGGGGGAACUGAAACAUCUAAGUACCCCGAGGAAAAGAAAUCAACCGAGAUUCCCCCAGUAGCGGCGAGCGAACGGGGAGCAGCCCAGAGCCUGAAUCAGUGUGUGUGUUAGUGGAAGCGUCUGGAAAGGCGCGCGAUACAGGGUGACAGCCCCGUACACAAAAAUGCACAUGCUGUGAGCUCGAUGAGUAGGGCGGGACACGUGGUAUCCUGUCUGAAUAUGGGGGGACCAUCCUCCAAGGCUAAAUACUCCUGACUGACCGAUAGUGAACCAGUACCGUGAGGGAAAGGCGAAAAGAACCCCGGCGAGGGGAGUGAAAAAGAACCUGAAACCGUGUACGUACAAGCAGUGGGAGCACGCUUAGGCGUGUGACUGCGUACCUUUUGUAUAAUGGGUCAGCGACUUAUAUUCUGUAGCAAGGUUAACCGAAUAGGGGAGCCGAAGGGAAACCGAGUCUUAACUGGGCGUUAAGUUGCAGGGUAUAGACCCGAAACCCGGUGAUCUAGCCAUGGGCAGGUUGAAGGUUGGGUAACACUAACUGGAGGACCGAACCGACUAAUGUUGAAAAAUUAGCGGAUGACUUGUGGCUGGGGGUGAAAGGCCAAUCAAACCGGGAGAUAGCUGGUUCUCCCCGAAAGCUAUUUAGGUAGCGCCUCGUGAAUUCAUCUCCGGGGGUAGAGCACUGUUUCGGCAAGGGGGUCAUCCCGACUUACCAACCCGAUGCAAACUGCGAAUACCGGAGAAUGUUAUCACGGGAGACACACGGCGGGUGCUAACGUCCGUCGUGAAGAGGGAAACAACCCAGACCGCCAGCUAAGGUCCCAAAGUCAUGGUUAAGUGGGAAACGAUGUGGGAAGGCCCAGACAGCCAGGAUGUUGGCUUAGAAGCAGCCAUCAUUUAAAGAAAGCGUAAUAGCUCACUGGUCGAGUCGGCCUGCGCGGAAGAUGUAACGGGGCUAAACCAUGCACCGAAGCUGCGGCAGCGACGCUGAUGCGUUGUUGGGUAGGGGAGCGUUCUGUAAGCCUGCGAAGGUGUGCUGUGAGGCAUGCUGGAGGUAUCAGAAGUGCGAAUGCUGACAUAAGUAACGAUAAAGCGGGUGAAAAGCCCGCUCGCCGGAAGACCAAGGGUUCCUGUCCAACGUUAAUCGGGGCAGGGUGAGUCGACCCCUAAGGCGAGGCCGAAAGGCGUAGUCGAUGGGAAACAGGUUAAUAUUCCUGUACUUGGUGUUACUGCGAAGGGGGGACGGAGAAGGCUAUGUUGGCCGGGCGACGGUUGUCCCGGUUUAAGCGUGUAGGCUGGUUUUCCAGGCAAAUCCGGAAAAUCAAGGCUGAGGCGUGAUGACGAGGCACUACGGUGCUGAAGCAACAAAUGCCCUGCUUCCAGGAAAAGCCUCUAAGCAUCAGGUAACAUCAAAUCGUACCCCAAACCGACACAGGUGGUCAGGUAGAGAAUACCAAGGCGCUUGAGAGAACUCGGGUGAAGGAACUAGGCAAAAUGGUGCCGUAACUUCGGGAGAAGGCACGCUGAUAUGUAGGUGAAGUCCCUUGCGGAUGGAGCUGAAAUCAGUCGAAGAUACCAGCUGGCUGCAACUGUUUAUUAAAAACACAGCACUGUGCAAACACGAAAGUGGACGUAUACGGUGUGACGCCUGCCCGGUGCCGGAAGGUUAAUUGAUGGGGUCAGCGCAAGCGAAGCUCUUGAUCGAAGCCCCGGUAAACGGCGGCCGUAACUAUAACGGUCCUAAGGUAGCGAAAUUCCUUGUCGGGUAAGUUCCGACCUGCACGAAUGGCGUAAUGAUGGCCAGGCUGUCUCCACCCGAGACUCAGUGAAAUUGAACUCGCUGUGAAGAUGCAGUGUACCCGCGGCAAGACGGAAAGACCCCGUGAACCUUUACUAUAGCUUGACACUGAACAUUGAGCCUUGAUGUGUAGGAUAGGUGGGAGGCUUGGAAGUGUGGACGCCAGUCUGCAUGGAGCCGACCUUGAAAUACCACCCUUUAAUGUUUGAUGUUCUAACGUUGACCCGUAAUCCGGGUUGCGGACAGUGUCUGGUGGGUAGUUUGACUGGGGCGGUCUCCUCCUAAAGAGUAACGGAGGAGCACGAAGGUUGGCUAAUCCUGGUCGGACAUCAGGAGGUUAGUGCAAUGGCAUAAGCCAGCUUGACUGCGAGCGUGACGGCGCGAGCAGGUGCGAAAGCAGGUCAUAGUGAUCCGGUGGUUCUGAAUGGAAGGGCCAUCGCUCAACGGAUAAAAGGUACUCCGGGGAUAACAGGCUGAUACCGCCCAAGAGUUCAUAUCGACGGCGGUGUUUGGCACCUCGAUGUCGGCUCAUCACAUCCUGGGGCUGAAGUAGGUCCCAAGGGUAUGGCUGUUCGCCAUUUAAAGUGGUACGCGAGCUGGGUUUAGAACGUCGUGAGACAGUUCGGUCCCUAUCUGCCGUGGGCGCUGGAGAACUGAGGGGGGCUGCUCCUAGUACGAGAGGACCGGAGUGGACGCAUCACUGGUGUUCGGGUUGUCAUGCCAAUGGCACUGCCCGGUAGCUAAAUGCGGAAGAGAUAAGUGCUGAAAGCAUCUAAGCACGAAACUUGCCCCGAGAUGAGUUCUCCCUGAC
rnacentral:rRNA from 1 species